UCUCCAAGCUUGGCAACUUUAAGACUUGUGGGCUUCACCUCUCAGAUCAAAUAGGGCCAAAAACUAUUAACUAUUCAAUAAUUCAGUCCAGUUUUUUUAAGCUUAACACUGAUAACACUUAGCAGUUCAACAGUGUAGAAUCUUUCAAGUGCCUUCAUUGCCAAAAUGUUGCCCGAAAUAAUGUUUGCACACAUGAGGAAAACACCUGUGAUUCAGGAUUGUGGAAAUUCUGCUACACUCAACUGAUUAGCAAAAACUCUGUGAUGACACAUGUGAAACGUGGUUGUUCUCUGGUGUGCCGUAACUUGAAAAGGGGAGACAUCGACUAUGAAGAACGGAUGUUGUGCUGUGUGAGAGACCUCUGCAACAGUCAUAACUUCUGGACAAAUGAGUAAAUGAAGGAAGGAAGAAAA